GUGAUUGUCUCUGAGGCCUUUCUGGGGAUGCAGAGAUGGUGUGACCCUUUAAAGUUCACCUAGUCCUCCAAAGCUGGGCAGCCAGGGCAUCUUGGUUUCCUUCACGUGACUUCUUAUUCUCCCAAAGGACCUCCUCUUCCAAGAGAAUGGUUGCUUGGCAACUGGAAGCUUGGAACUGCUGGGGACCAUCUUUGCAAUCAUAAGAGAAAGGCCUGGCUGAGAAGGAAACAGUGAAAGUGGACAGAAGAGCCAAGAGAUGGAGAGAGUGAGCGAGAGUCUCAUGACAGCAUUGGGACUCCUGGAUCCAGCCAUGCCUGAAGUCCUUCCCACAGUCAUUCCAAUCAUGUAAAGCCUCUUUGAUGUAAGUUUCUAUUCCUUGUAACCAAGAGAUACUGUAAUCUGACAAUGCUAUACAGCUUAUUUGGAUCAUGAGGAGGAUUAAAUGUGCUAUGAUAUAUGAAACAUGGGGCUCCUAGGGGGCCCACUAGAGGUCUGCUUUCAGGAAUGUUUCUUCCCCUCUCCCUGACGGAACACAGUUCCAACUUAAAAUCUACUAAAAGCACUAAACAAUUUAGAACAGGUGUGGAUGGC
ensembl:lncRNA